GCCCCUGUGGCGAAACUGGAUAUCGUGCGUGGCUUCGGACCACGAGUUGAAGGUUCGAAUCCUUCCAGGGGCACCG
rnacentral:tRNA from 1 species